GAGAAUGAUCUGUGGGAAAACAUAGCAUGUUGCAAAUGUGCCGCUGAGGGAGAAUUCUUCAAACUUGGUGAAAGCUGACCCCACGGGCUCCCCACAAGUUCUCAAGUCAGUGAUUUGACACUUCAGUAAUGUGCAUAUCUCUCAAUGAAGGUGAACUCAUCAAAAUAAAUCAUCCCCGGAAAAUCUGACUGUUCAGACAAGAAUGGCUUGGCACUUCUGGCAUAAGCACUCCAGUCAACAGCUGCAGGAUAGGGCCAGUGGUUGAUGGAAUUGUUAGGACCAAAAUGCCUAGACAUUGUCUAUUUGGAGACAGCUGUGAACAGAGAGCCUCUUG